rnacentral:rRNA from 1 species
AACGAACGCUGGCGGCAUGCCUAACACAUGCAAGUCGAACGAGACCUUCGGGUCUAGUGGCGCACGGGUGCGUAACGCGUGGGAACCUGCCCUUAGGUUCGGAAUAACUCCCCGAAAGGGGUGCUAAUACCGGAUAAUGUCUUCGGACCAAAGAUUUAUCGCCUUUGGAUGGGCCCGCGUUGGAUUAGCUAGUUGGUAGGGUAAAAGCCUACCAAGGCGACGAUCCAUAGCUGGCCUGAGAGGAUGACCAGCCACACUGGGACUGAGACACGGCCCAGACUCCUACGGGAGGCAGCAGUGGGGAAUAUUGGACAAUGGGCGAAAGCCUGAUCCAGCAAUGCCGCGUGAGUGAUGAAGGCCUUAGGGUUGUAAAGCUCUUUUACCCGGGAUGAUAAUGACAGUACCGGGAGAAUAAGCUCCGGCUAACUCCGUG